rnacentral:rRNA from 1 species
UCAGGCCUAACACAUGCAAGUCGAACGAGAUUAUAGGGUAAGCUUGCUUACCUUAUAUGACAGUGGCGCACGGGUGCGUAACGCGUAUGCAAUCUACCUUAAUCAGGGGGAUAGCCUCUCGAAAGAGAGAUUAAUACCGCAUAACAUUAUGAUAUGGCAUCAUAUUAUAAUCAAACAUUUAUGGGAUUAAGAUGAGCAUGCGUGACAUUAGCUAGUCGGUGAGGUAACGGCUCACCAAGGCAACGAUGUCUAGGGGAUCUGAGAGGAUGACCCCCCACACUGGUACUGAGACACGGACCAGACUCCUACGGGAGGCAGCAGUAAGGAAUAUUGGUCAAUGGACGCAAGUCUGAACCAGCCAUGCCGCGUGCAGGAAGACGGCCCUAUGGGUUGUAAACUGCUUUUAUACGGGAAUAAACCUUCUUUCGUGAAAGAAG